rnacentral:ncRNA from 1 species
GAGAAAGCGAUGAAAAGAAAAGUACAUCUGAUGAACGUACAAAGAGAGCUCCGGUAUGCUGAAAAGGAGUGACGCGAGUGAGAUGGAAAAUGGUCUUUGAGCAGGAUCGACGAGGCGAGUGCCAAGUCCUUCACGGGAGUGCCCGUUAUAGCACCUCAGUAUGCGCCAUAGGCAAGUACUGGUAGAGGUUAUGAUUGUGAAAUCAUAAUAAAUUUUAGGUGGUAACACGGAAGUCAAAGCUUUCGUCCUAAAU